UCGAGAAUCUUCCACAAUGGACGAAAGUCUGAUGGAGCGACGCCGCGUGAUUGAUGAAGUCCCUCUGGGACGUAAAGAUCUUUUAUGAGGGAAGAAGUUUAUUGACGGUACCUCAUGAAUAAGGAGCUUCUAAUCUCGUGCCAGCAGAAGCGGUAAUACGAGAGCUCCGAGCGUUAUCCGGAAUUACUGGGCGUAAAGGGUGUGUCGGCGGCGCUAUUAGUCUCUUGUCAAAGCCUGGAGCUUAACUUCAGAUCUGCAAGGGAAACGGUAGCGCUUAGAGAGUGUGAGAGGUGUACGGAACUCUCGGUGUAGGGGUGAAAUCCGUUGAUAUCGAGGGGAACACCAAAGGCGAAAGCAGUACACUAGCACAUAUCUGACGCUCAAACACGAAAGCGUGGGUAGCGAAUGGGAUUAGAUACCCCCGUAGUCC
rnacentral:rRNA from 1 species